rnacentral:rRNA from 1 species
GGAGUUAUAUUGUAGCUUGCUAUGGUAUAACUUAGUGGCAGACGGGUGAGUAAUGUAUAGGAAUCUGCCUAGUAGUACGGAAUAAUUGUUGGUAACGGCAACUAAUACCGUAUACGCCCUACGGGGGAAAAAUUUAUUGCUAUUAGAUGAGCCUAUAUUAGAUUAGCUAGUUGGUGGAGUAAUAGCCUACCAAGGCAAUGAUCUAUAGCUGAUCUGAGAGGAUGAUCAGCCAUACUGGAACUGAGAUACGGUCCAGACUCCUACGGGAGGCAGCAGUGGGGAAUAUUGGACAAUGGGCGAAAGCCUGAUCCAGCCAUGCCGCAUGAGUGAAGAAGGCCUUUGGGUUGUAAAGCUCUUUUAGUGAGGAAGAUAAUGACGGUACUCACAGAAGAAGUCCUGGCUAACUCCGUGCCAGCAGCCGCGGUAAUACGGAGAGGGCUAGCGUUAUUCGGAAUUAUUGGGCGUAAAGGGCGCGUAGGCUGGUUAGUAAGUUAAAAGUGAAAUCCCGAGGCUUAACCUUGGAAUUGCUUUUAAAACUGCUAACCUAGAGAUUGAAAGAGGAUAGAGGAAUUCCUAGUGUAGAGGUGAAAUUCGUAAAUAUUAGGAGGAACACCAGUGGCGAAGGCGUCUAUCUGGUUCAAAUCUGACGCUGAGGCACGAAGGCGUGGGGAGCAAACAGGAUUAGAUACCCUGGUAGUCCACGCUGUAAACGAUGAAUGUUAAAUAUGGGGAGUUUACUUUCUGUAUUACAGCUAACGCGUUAAACAUUCCGCCUGGGGACUACGGUCGCAAGACUAAAACUCAAAGGAAUUGACGGGGACCCGCACAAGCGGUGGAGCAUGUGGUUUAAUUCGAUGCAACGCGAAAAACCUUACCACUCCUUGACAUGGAAAUUAUACCUAUUCGAAGGGAUAGG